CAGCAGCCGCGGUAAAACGUAGGUGGCAAGCGUUGUCCGGAAUUAUUGGGCGUAAAGCGCGCGCAGGUGGUUUAAUAAGUCUGAUGUGAAAGCCCACGGCUCAACCGUGGAGGGUCAUUGGAAACUGUUAAACUUGAGUGCAGGAGAGAAAAGUGGAAUUCCUAGUGUAGCGGUGAAAUGCGUAGAGAUUAGGAGGAACACCAGUGGCGAAGGCGGCUUUUUGGCCUGUAACUGACACUGAGGCACGAAAGCGUGGGGAGCAAACAGGAUUAGAUACCCGAGUAGUCCCUGUCUCUUAUAC
rnacentral:rRNA from 1 species